AGAAUAAUAUUCCGUUGCACGGAGGGUUCACCAUUUAUGUAGUCGUGAGUCUAUUGAAGGACACCUCGUUGCCUCUAGUUUUUGGAGAGGCGAACCUGCAGGAAUCUGUGACUGUGUGUGCACCUUCAAUUUGGUCCAUCGUUUGUGAUUGAAUUGCAUGUGGCCCUCCGUGAAAAAGCCAAGGUUAAAUUCACGGUGCCUACUGAGAUUGCACGUGUUUUCAUCUUUUCAGACCCUAGGCUUACCACACAUUUCCUGGGCAUGGAACUGACCGGCCAUCCAGUGCCCUGGUCUUCUAGCGACAGCAUUAAAACGUGUGCGUUCGCAGAUGGAAGAAGUUCACACCGGGCACAAGUUGUAACCAGAUCAUACAAGCAUAGUUUACGCUUUGUCUAAAUUCAAACUGACCCAACCUCCUAAGAAAUAGAAGGACUUCCUCUGGUUAUAGAGGUCUUAAGAACAGCUAGACCCAGGAUUCUGAGAUUUGGAGUCUUUUCAGUAAUGGGAAGAAGGCAGCAGAGGACAAAACUAAGGCAUUGUUAUAAUGUUCAUCUUCAGAGACCUUAUGGAUCAUUAAAAGCGCACGACACGGAGAUAGUAAGCCACACGGAAGAGCCUGGGCUUAGACGAUGGGUGAACAAUGGGAAAUCCGGGCAGUGUCCGCGUGAGCUUGGCGAGGAGACCCCCCAAGGAGGUCAUUCUCUCCUCAGUGUGCCGGCAACAGCAUCCAUCCGCCUCAGAGGCUGUGAGCUGUUCACCGUCCUUGUGAGACGUGGGCCUGAAGACACAGCUGGAGUUCUUGUCAUUGUGGAAUUCAGCCGGAUCAGAAAUCGGGUCAGGAUGUCUUCUCAUGCCAUUCCUAUUCAAUAUCAAACAGGAAGACCUAACCAGUACGACAAGGAAAGAACGAGAAAUACAGAGUAGAAAGAGUUUAUAAUUAACAUCUUGUGAAGUUCACUGGAAGACGAGGAGACUGGCUCUGCUACGUCUGGGAAUGGCGAGGCCUCCAAAUGCUGAUCACCGCAUGCAAUUAAGUAGAGAGACUGGCUGAAGAUCUGCAAGAUGUCCUUGGACAUUUGGAGCACGGAGAGUAUUUUCGGUCAAUUCUAUUUAGAGAAAAUCGGAUGCUUAAUGACUGUGGUUCAGAGGUCCACAAUAAGACUAAUGGACUGAAAACCCAAGAGAAGUGCUCAUGGCAGGAAGAGCAUCAAGAGGAUAUAAAGUUAUGGAAAAUAAAUGACGAUCCACGUUACCACCAAUAGGCUCUCCUAUGAACCCAACCACCUGUGCAAGGUCAUUACUGCAACAGAGAAUCAAGUCUGCUCCCGAGAGAAGAAGUGAGAGAGUGAAUACACACCUUGGAAGUGUCAGUGAUUAAUGCUCUCAACUGCACCGUGUCCCCUGAAGAGCCAAGGUGCGUAGGUCCGGCUGCCCUGUCUUCUGUGUCUCCCGUCGUGAACAGUUGGACGAUCCCACGGAGAAGCGGUGUCUCCUAGUCUGUUGAAGCAAUCAGUGAAGUGAAUGAGUAAUGAGUGAGAGCACAUUAGUGCCAUUGGUGGUUAAUGAACUCAAUCGUCUUUGCUGCGUGCCCCUGAUUUCCACAGCUUGCUAAAUAAAAGUUUAUUUAUGGUC